AACUUUUGCUUUAUUAGUGAGAUCUCUGCCUAGCAGGGAUUUGGAGGAAAGUCCGGACACCAUAGGGAAGCAUAGCGGCUAACGGCCGUCGUCACGUUUAAUACGUGAAAGGACAAGUGCAACAGAAAGAAUGUACAGGUAAUGCUGUAGUGAAAUCAGGUAAACUCUAUGCGGUGCAAUGCCACGUAUACCUGCGCUUGAGGGUUCCCGCCCAAUGCAGGAGGGUAGGCAGAUCGAGUGUAUUGGUAACAAUACAUCCAGAUAAAUGAUAAGGGUUCGUUUUGGCGAAUACAGAAUCCGGCUUAUCGGCCUGCUUUUUUA
rnacentral:RNase_P_RNA from 1 species